UAUAUUUUUGGUUUCAUCAACGAAUUUUCUUUCUUUCUCUUGCUUUCUUCUUAACAUUCACAAGCACACAGACAUUCUUGAAAAAUCAAAAUACUAAACUGUAAAAUGUUUCUUCUGCUAUGCAGCCAGCUAUUGCCUUUGCUAUCAGAUAGCAGCUUUAUGAGAUUGCAAUUCAAAGUGUGGUUUCAGCAAGAGAAACCAGAAUGAGCAACAAGGGUCGUCGAGGGGCUGAAUAUACUCCAGUCAGGAAAAGAAAGGAGUGGGACGUAUAUGAACCUAUUGUCGACCUACUAUCCAACGAGGAAGUUGAUGCCAUUGAAGCAAAGGACGAGAGAAAUUUCUGGUGAAUUCGCCCUGUGAUCAGCCACACCACAUCAGAAGGGUAUAUAGUUCAAUGACAGCAUAUAUUGGGGGUUAGAGUUCUAAGUUAUUGUAGUUGUAGUAUAUACAAGUUGGCUUUUUAGUACCGGGAAUCAAUGAUUCAGAAUAUUGUUAUCGUUUGAUUUCUGUAGUUUUAGUCUUGUAGAAUUUGUUAUUUAUUCUCUGUACCCUCAGCAGAAGAGGAGAAAAAUAGCACCCUCUUUGUAUAUUUUUCUGUCAAACUUAACAGCAGCAACAACAACAAUGAAGUCAUUUCUCAUUAGGUGGGUUUUCCGGGAAACUAAGAAGUCUCAAAACUGUCAAUAAUGAGUUCGGAAUACUGGAUCUAGCCUAUGAUUAGUGUUUGAGCCAGAAGAAAUUUCAUGGAAUCUACGAUAGUUUUAUAUUAUGUUAUUUUAAAAUAAUACAAGAGUUAGACUU